AAAAACAACACACAGAUACACAAUACAUAAACACAAUACAUAAACACAGCACUAGAAGGUUAAUUUUCAAAACAAGGAAGAAACCGAAUCAACAAAGACCGAGAGCUCUCUCUUUCUUUUUAGGUGCCAUUGAAACCCUAUCAACAGAAGAAGACGCUUUUCAUUCGGUCAGGAAUCAAUUAGUCCAUUGAAUCGAAAUUUCUCUUCUGCCCCGCCUUCUCUCGCUCUCUCCAUCGCCGGAGAGGUUGAUCCCAACUUAGAAUGGCAAACGAAACGCCGCCUGAUCACAACCUUCAACAUCUCCAAUCUGCUAGGGUUUCAAGUCCAACAUAACGUUAAGAGCGGAAAACGAAUUCGUUUUUUUUUUUUUACUAGUCUGGAAAUUAAUUUCUUUUUGUAAAUAUUAUUUGAAUCGGACGGGGUGUUACAAGUAGAACAACGCCACAUGGCGCCGGCUAAAGGAUGUGUGUUAGUGUUGGAUAAAGCCAGGAGGUGUAUACGGACGGUGAUCUUCAUGGUAGCGAUGGUUGCAUCGCUGCUUGUUUCUUCUAUGCCGGUGCUGGUGGCGAUUGGAGAUGUAUUGGUGCCGUGCGUUUUGGUUUCGAGUUUUACUUGUUUGAGUUGCUAUGGAUUUAAGGAGCAUUUGCACAGAUACGCCCUUAAGAGUUCCUUGACGGAUAUUCCUCUCGUUUCCGUAGUCAGAUCUCUUAUCAUCAUCUGUGUUUAUUUGAUGUGUGAUGCUCCUGCUCUUUCACAUGGCCCUUACCUUGGAACUGUGACACUCUGCUCUGUUGUUUCAGUUCUUCUUCUUUCAGUUAAGGCUUGUGUUUUCACCAUGAAUUCUCAAAUUGAGGCUCAAGCUUCGUCUUCCCUUUCAAGACAAAAACUUCAUUUGAAGAAGUCGUGGGGAAUGCCUGUCUUGUUUCUGUCAUCAGUGGUUUUUGCUCUUGGCCACACUGUGGUUGCUUAUAGAACUAGCUGCAGAGCACGGAGAAAGCUUUUGUUUCACCGAGUUGACCCAGAAGCUGUGCUGUCUUGUAAAAAUGUUUUCUCUGGUUACCAGAAGGUGCCACGAUCUCCCACUCCUACUGCAGGAAGAACACCUAAAAGCGACAGUGAAAUGAGGCGAAAGCCUUUUGGCAUGGUUCAUGAUGAAGGGGAACUACCUAUCAGAUUGCUUGCUGAUAUUGACAGCUUAUUCCUUACAUGUCAAGGGCUUACAAUCCACUACAAGCUAUGCUUGCCUGGUUCACCCCCUCGUUCUUUAUCUUCUGCAGCAUUUUUUGAGCCUUCUCCUGGCUGUAGCUCACCAAAGAUGACAGUUGGAAGGCUAAAACUUGAAAGGCAGCCAUUCAACAUGUUGAAAACACAGCAUAAUCUUCAUAGAAGUUAUAGCAAUCAGUUUCAUAGCUCUUCUCUGUAUGCUCCACUAUUGGAUGUGUCUCCAACUUCUCCUGUUCUUUCUGAAGAAAUUCCUGUUCUGACCCUAGAUGCUGCUUGUGAGGAGAAUGAAAUGAGUACAGUGAACUGUGGAUCUUCCGAGCAGGAUAUGGUGGAAAGUGGCCAGUUUGGUAUUGUUUUAGUUCAUGGCUUCGGUGGAGGAGUCUUCUCAUGGAGGCAUAUGAUGGGGGUUCUUGCCAGGCAAGUUGGUUGCAUGGUUGCUGCUUUUGAUAGGCCUGGUUGGGGAUUAACAUCUCGGCCUCGUCGGAAGGAUUGGGAAGAUAAAGAAUUGCCGAAUCCAUAUAAGCUUGAAACUCAGGUUGACCUGCUUCUUGCCUUCUGUUCUGAGAUGGGAUUUUCCUCAGUACUGCUUGUUGGUCAUGAUGAUGGAGGCUUGCUUGCUCUGAUGGCUGCACAAAGACUUCAAACAUCAAUCAAUUCUUUCAAUGUAACAAUAAAAUCGAUAGUAUUGCUAAAUGUUAGUUUGUCAAGAGAAGUGGUUCCUGCCUUCGCUAGGAUACUCCUUCGCACUUCACUCGGGAAGAAACACCUCGUUCGCCCUCUUCUUCGGACAGAAAUUGUUCAAGUGGUGAACAGGCGUGCAUGGUAUGAUGCAACCAAGCUUACACCAGAGACUUUAAGCCUGUACAAGGCCCCAUUAUAUGUGGAAGGUUGGGAUGAAGCACUCCAUGAGAUAGGUAAAUUGUCGUGUGAGACUGUCCUUUCACCACAAAUUUCUGCAUCAUUGCUGAAGGCAGUAGAAGACAUGCCAGUUUUAGUCAUCACAGGUGCUGAAGAUGCCCUUGUCCCUCUUAAAUCAUCCCAAGCUAUGGCUUCAAAACUUGUAAAUUCUAGACUGGUCGCCAUUUCUGGAUGUGGGCAUCUUCCACACGAAGAGUGCCCCAAGGCAUUACUUGCAGCUAUGUCCCCGUUCAUAAGCAGACUAUUGUUGCAAACAGAUUUGGAGAACCAAUAGGAUACCCUUUCUUUUUUUAACUUAUCGAUUAGGCUUGUAUCUUGUUUAGGUUUUUUGUUUUUUUUUUUUUUUUUUUUUAAAUCCCUUCCUCCCUCUCUUUCUUCUUCUUCUCUUUUUUUACCAAGCAAUUUACCCUAGAGAGGGAUUAAUGUUUAUGCCUUUUCUUUAGGGGGUAUUUUUGGUGUUCUAUUUUCAAGCCUUAUCCAAGCCCUGAUUCCCCAGGGUUUAUAGCUUCCUCAUUUUGUAAUUUUUUAAAAAAUAUUUUCUCUUAUAAUUUUUCCUUGUGAAGAUCCAAGCAAUUGAAAGCAUGUGGAAAGUUGCUGCUGUUCCUGUUGAACUGAACUAGUCUUACCUUCUGUGUAAAUAGAUCUCUUUUUCUUCC